rnacentral:lncRNA from 1 species
CUCCAAUAGCACUGAGUCAUACUCACCCAUAGGGAAGACCAGUGUGUGAUUCCCUCUGGGCUGAAUUUCUUUUCUUUGUUUUACCCUUCUCAGUCCUCUCGCUCUUGAGCUCUGACAUUACUUCUCCAAACAAUCUGUACAUAAAGUUCUUGUCUCAGUUUCCCCUUUUACGAGAGGAGAUUGGGGGGUACCCAAAUAAUUGGAACUUACAGUGAAUCAGAGGACCCUAUAUAUAUCUGAGUAACUAAAAUAAAAAAAUAACAAGAAUACAGAAUGGAAGUUUAGAAAUCUUCUAGCUUAACUGAAAUGAGUCUUCUUAAAAAUGGUGGUUUUUCUGUCAGGUUUUGGAGGAAGAAUUUAACUUUGGAAAGUUCAAUGUGUGAUGAUGCGCUAUGGAAACGCCAUUCUACACAGAGAGGUUCAGAGAGCAAAGGCAGGGACUGGUGUCCCAGUUUAAUUGGGUCAUGAAGUUCAUGAAAAAUGACAGUAGAAUAUAAAUGUGGAAAGUUACAUUGAGAGUAUUAUGCUAAGUGAUAUAAGCCAGUCCCCCCCCAAAACAAAGGCCAGAUGUUCUCUCUCCUAUGUAGAUGCUAACAUAUAAUAAGGGCAGGGAUGGGAAGAAUAGAAGUUCAUUGGAUUAGACAAAGGGGAGUGAAGGAAAGGGAGGGGGGAUGGAAAUAGCAAAGGCUGUAGAAUGAAUCAGACAUCACUUUCACAUGUUCAUAUAUGAAUACGCGACCAGUGAAACUCCACAUUGUGUAUAACCACAAGAAUGAGAUCCUAAUUAAAAUAAAUUAUACUCCACGAAUGUAUGAUUUGCCAAAAUACACUCUACUGUCAUGUAUACCUAAAAA